rnacentral:tRNA from 1 species
GCCGAGGUAGCUCAGUGGUAGAGCGCGGCCCUGAAAAGGCCGGCGUGCGGGGUUCGAUUCCCUGUCUCGGCA